rnacentral:rRNA from 1 species
UGAGGAAUAUUGGUCAAUGGGCGAGAGCCUGAACCAGCCAAGUCGCGUGAAGGAAGAAGGUUCUAUGGAUUGUAAACUUCUUUUGUAAGGGAAUAAAAAAGAGUACGUGUAUUCUAUUGUAUGUACUUUACGAAUAAGGAUCGGCUAACUCCGUGCCAGCAGCCGCGGUAAUACGGAGGAUCCGAGCGUUAUCCGGAUUUAUUGGGUUUAAAGGGUGCGUAGGCGGACUUAUAAGUCAGCGGUGAAAGUUUGCAGCUUAACUGUAAAAUUGCCGUUGAAACUGUUAGUCUUGAGUGUAAAUGAGGUAGGCGGAAUGUGUUGUGUAGCGGUGAAAUGCUUAGAUAUAACACAGAACACCAAUUGCGAAGGCAGCUUACUGGGAUACAACUGACGCUGAGGCACGAAAGCGUGGGGAUCAAACAG